GCAGAUCUUGGUUGGCGUAGCAAAGAUCUAACGGAAAAAUACUCAACAUGCAACGUUGGAUACUGGAGCGGGGAAGGAUUUCGUGCCAACGGCACUCGUACACGAGUUGUUCGGACACUGAGCACAACGUUACACCGUUUUGUUAGGAAAGUGAGGGUGUGUCAGCGCCCGGCUGGAGAGGGUGGAGCUAUGCAUGCUCUCUCUCUCCGCCGUGUCGCGUCUGGCCGCUACUGAAAAGGGGCAACAGAGAACC
rnacentral:rRNA from 1 species